rnacentral:lncRNA from 1 species
CCUGUUAAUUGAAAUGCAUUCUAGAUGACUGCCUCAUGAACCUGGUUGAGAGAAUGCCAAGAGUGUGCAAAGCUGUCAUCAAGGCAAAGGGUGGCUACUUUACAUAGAUUGUCCUCCAUGCUAACUUAUUGCCUGUUUCCUCACCCCUGCUGCCUGCUGGACCCAGUCGCUUGAGCUAAUGGACCUGCUCAAACCUCCACCUCCUCCUCCACCAUUGACCUACCAGGCCUCCAAUACCAGCUGACAAAUGCCCCCUGUCACAACGAACACUACAAAUGAUCUUCUCUUUUUCUCUCUCCCUCCGUCUCUCUCGAUCUGUCUUCACAGGUGGCUCUGCCCAGCGUUCCUCACUCUGUUGCACCCACCUCCCUCUCACCAUUGCCUCAGGCCCUGGCCUCUAAUGUACUCCUCUGGGACCCCAGCAGAGUCCAGAGGCCCAGAGACCAAAGAACCAGGCCUGCCUGCUGCUCCACUCUUCAUGCUCACUUGAAUUGAAUAUCUGAGAAAAACCUGUGGCCCUCUCUACCAUUCCCCCCACCCCACCCCCUUCUUUCCCUCUCCAUCUUCUUUGGUGACUGUGCUAUUUUUGGCUCUCCUCUGGACAUAUGUCAUUGAGGAGUGCGUGCAGUGGCUGGAUAAUUAAGGCUACCUCAAAGCGGGCAUAAAAAAUUGGGAGAUAUUUAUUAGGCAGUACAUUAGCUGCUUGUCGUGAGUGCGUGUCAGGCCUGUAAAACAAAGUUUGAUUGAGAAAGUCAGAAAAUGUGGUAGUGUAACUACUGUUGUUGCCGUUGGUACUCCAGCAGAGACGUGGAAAUCAUUCACUCACAAAGAUGUACUUGAUUUGGUCUGAUUCAUUUAUUGUAUAAAUAAAUUGUG